UGAGAUCAAACCCAAGUCUGAGAUCAAACCCAAGUCGGAGUCAGGCAAGCACGGGAAGCAAGAGGAAGGAACAUCUGAUGCACCAAAAAAAGAAGAAACGGUUGAUAAAGAGUUGUUGCAGGUAGAAAAUCUGCUUUGACUAUUAUAAUGUCCUUAAGCUUUUACCCUUUUUGUUGGUGCUAAAGCUUCUUCUGACUCAGGCUUUCAGAUUCUUUGAUCGUAACCAAACAGGCUAUGUUAGGGUAAGAAGAAGCUUAAUCCAUCUUCCUUAUCUCUCAGAAUGAAUUUACAAUACCGUUUACAUUUUUUGUUCUUUCACAGGUUGAUGAUAUGAGAACAACUAUGCACAGCUUGGGAAAGUUUCUAUCUCACCGAGAAGUCAAGGUAAAAGAGAUUUCUCCAUACUUGAGUUUGUCAAUCAUUUUAACAAAGAUAUAGAGAAAUGAAUUAUUUCAAGGUUGGUUUGUAACUGAUUUAUGAUGUUUUGUUUUUUGAGCUUACAUAACUGUUUUCUUACACUUCUUUUUUUUUUUUCCUUGGUAGAAAUUACGUGUAAAAUUUGUGAGAGAGAGAAACCAACGAAAGAGGCGUCAAGAAGAGUUAUCUGCCAAGGAAAAGGAAGCAAAAGCACAAAAUAAGCGUCAAAAGACUGACAAGGAAGCCACUGUUACAACUGAAUCUGUUCCUGAGAAGGAUGACAAGAAAAAUUCAGCAAAGGAAACGGUAGCUAACACUGAAGACACUAAAAAAGCCACCGGUGAUGAAGCUGCUACGAUGGAAGCGGAUAACCAGGAUGAGGAGGAUGAAGAGAUUGAUGAAGAUCCAGAGGAAGACCCUGAAGAGGAUCCUGAAGAAGACCCUGAGGAAUGCGAGGAAAUGGACGAUGAAAAUCCUGAGCAAGAAGAAACUGCUGAAGAGGUAUGAUUUAUACAUUAUUUGCCUUGCCGUUUCCAACUUGUUCACUCCUAAUAUCGUAAGUUUUAUUUUAGCCAACAAGAUGUUAUGUUCAUCAAUCUUGUCCAUUUGUUCUGUGUCUCUUCUUCAGCCGCAGAAGAAUGAAGAAAACAGUGAGAAGACUAGCAGCGCUGUUGCUCGUCCUAUAACUGAAGUCGCAACUGAUAGAAAAGAAGAGAUCGUGGAGAAGACUGAUUCCAAAUCUGCUGAGAUCAAACCCAAGUCUGAGAUCAAACCCAAGUCGGAGUCAGGCAAGCACGGGAAGCAAGAGGAAGGAACAUCUGAUGCACCAAAAAAAGAAGAAACGGUUGAUAAAGAGUUGUUG
rnacentral:lncRNA from 1 species